AUUCUGGAAAUACAGAUUAAAAGGGAAUCGGGUGUAAAUCCCGGACAGUCCCGCUGCUGUGAAGCUCUAAUAACAUUCUGAAAACAACUUAUGCCACUGACAUGUGUCGGGAAGGCUUCAGGAUGGGAGUCAGUCAGAAGACCUGCCGUUCGUUAAA
rnacentral:ncRNA from 1 species